CAAUAGCGUAUAUUAAAGUUGUUGCAGUUAAAAAGCUCGUAGUUGGAUUUCCGGCGUGAGGGAUCAGUCUGACUUCUAGUCAGUACUUGGUCCUCUCAUGCCGUCCUUGAAUGGUGCAUCCUGGCAUUAAGUUGUCGGGGUGAGAGCCGUUCAUCGUUUACUGUGAGAAAAUUAGAGUGUUCAAAGCAGGCUUAUGCCGUUGAAUAUAUUAGCAUGGAAUAAUAAGAUAGGACUUUGGUACUAUUUUGUUGGUUGAACUAAGCCAAGGUAAUGAAUGCAAUAGGGACAGUUUGGGGGGUAUUCGUAUUCAGUUGUCAGAGGUGAAAUUCUUAGAUUUCCGGAAGACGAACUACUGCGAAAGC
rnacentral:rRNA from 1 species